CCUACGGGAGGCAGCAGUGAGGAAUAUUGGUCAAUGGACGAGAGUCUGAACCAGCCAAGUAGCGUGAAGGAUGACUGCCCUAUGGGUUGUAAACUUCUUUUAUAUGGGAAUAAAACGUUCCACGUGUGGGAUUUUGUAUGUACCAUAUGAAUAAGGAUCGGCUAACUCCGUGCCAGCAGCCGCGGUAAUACGGAGGAUCCGAGCGUUAUCCGGAUUUAUUGGGUUUAAAGGGAGCGUAGGUGGAUUUGUAAGUCAGUUGUGAAAGUUUGCGGCUCAACCGUAAAAUUGCAGUUGAAACUGGCAGUCUUGAGUACAGUAGAGGUGGGCGGAAUUCGUGGUGUAGCGGUGAAAUGCUUAGAUAUCACGAAGAACUCCGAUUGCGAAGGCAGUUCACUGGACUGCAACUGACACUGAGGCUCGAAAGUGUGGGUAUCAAACAGGAUUAGAUACCCCAGUAGUC
rnacentral:rRNA from 1 species